rfam:Erinaceus europaeus unplaced genomic scaffold scaffold00135, whole genome shotgun sequence
GGAUGUGAGGGCGAUAGCUACAUUAUCUGUCAUCCCACUGAUCACCAGGGUUGAUUCCGCUGAUCUGGCUGGCUUGGCGGGUGUCCCCUUCCUCCCUCACUGCUCCAUGUGCAUCCCUCCCAAAGCUGUGUGCUCAGGUCAAAGAGGACAGCUUCCAUAAAUAGAAAGAGGAUGGCCUUCCACGAAUAGACACGGACCGGUGUUAGGUCGAGGGUAUACGAGUAGCUGCUAGAACCUCCAAACAAGCUCUCAAGGUUCAUUUAUAAACUCAUCUGCUCUGCAGCUUUGGUCAAGUAUUUGAGUCUCUCAGUGCCUAUAAUGAUUUUUUUU